AAAGCAGAGAUUGUGUGUAUCGGCUUGUGCUGUUUAAUGCAUUUUGUAUUGAAAGUUAUCUCUGCGAAAUCGAUUUGGGGCAGAUGGGCAGUUGUGAUUCAUUGUCAAUUGGAUAUACUCAACAAUCAUCUUCCCCACAUUU
rfam:Arabis alpina cultivar Pajares Aa.chr4_contig_3588, whole genome shotgun sequence.